UAGGAAUCUUCCACAAUGGACGCAAGUCUGAUGGAGCAACGCCGCGUGAGUGAAGAAGGUUUUCGGACCGUAAAGCUCUGUUGUUGGUGAAGAAGGAUAGAGGUAGUAACUGGCCUUUAUUUGACGAUAAUCAACCAGAAAGUCACGGCUAACUACGUGCCAGCAGCCGCGGUAAUCGUAGGUGGCAAGCGUUGUCCGGAUUUAUUGGGCGUAAAGCGAGCGCAGGCGGAAGAAUAAGUCUGAUGUGAAAGCCCUCGGCUUAACCGAGGAAUUGCAUCGGAAACUGUUUUCUUGAGUGCAGAAGAGGAGAGUAGAACUCCAUGUGUAGCGGUGGAAUGCGUAGAUAUAUGGAAGAAUACCAGUGGCGAAGGCGGCUCUCUGGUCUGCAACUGACGCUGAGGCUCGAAAGCAUGGGUAGCGAACAGGAUUAGAUACCCUGGUAGUCCAUGCCGUAAACGAUGAGUGCUAAGUGUUGGGAGGCUUCCGCCUCUCAGUGCUGCAGCUAACGCAUUAAGCACUCCGCCUGGGGGAGUACGACCGCAAGGUUGAAAC
rnacentral:rRNA from 1 species